AACAAGGUUUCCGUAGGUGAACCUGCGGAAGGAUCAUUACUG
rnacentral:rRNA from 1 species